rnacentral:rRNA from 1 species
CGGUUCCUACGGGGGGCAGCAGUGGGGAAUAUUGCACAAUGGGGGAAACCCUGAUGCAGCGACGCCGCGUGAGUGAAGAAGUAUCUCGGUAUGUAAAGCUCUAUCAGCAGGAAAGAUAAUGACGGUACCUGACUAAGAAGCCCCGGCUAACUACGUGCCAGCAGCCGCGGUAAUACGUAGGGGGCAAGCGUUAUCCGGAUUUACUGGGUGUAAAGGGAGCGUAGACGGCCAGACAAGUCAGAAGUGAAAGCCCAGGGCUCAACUCUGGGACUGCUUUUGAAACUGCCGGGCUGGAGUGCAGGAGG